rnacentral:rRNA from 1 species
CGGACGGGUGAGUAAUGUCUGGGAAACUGCCUGAUGGAGAGGGAUAACUACUGGAAACGGUAGCUAAUACCGCAUAACGUCGCAAGACCAAAGAGGGGGACCUUAGGGCCUCUUGCCAUCGGAUGUGCCCAGAUGGGAUUAGCUAGUAGGUGGGGUAACGGCUCACCUAGGCGACGAUCCCUAGCUGGUCUGAGAGGAUGACCAGCCACACUGGAACUGAGACACGGUCCAG